GCCGAGGUGGCUGAGUGGUAAGGCGCAGGCCUGGAGAGCCUGUGUUCCGCAAGGAACUCAAGGGUUCAAAUCCCUUCCUCGGCG
rnacentral:tRNA from 3 species